UACAGAUCAAUUCCAUAAUUCUUCAAUGAAAGCCAGCUGUUAACAAUUUGCAUGGUGUAUAAAAGAAGUCUUAGAAAAAUGGAAGAAUCUGUUUGACUGAAAAUGAUGGGACUCGCGGGUCCUGGCAGCAAAAGGAGGCAAAAUGUAUGCAAAGUUCACUCUGGAUAAACAUUGUGUUUCCUGGGCUUCCUUAUAGAACACAGGUGAGAAGUUGCUUAGAGACCCG
rnacentral:lncRNA from 1 species